GGACAAGGUAUGAAGACGCGUGGAGCACAAGCUCGAAGGUCGGGCGAACGGAUUCUACCUGGAUAUCGCGGGAUACUUGUUAUAGUUCGACUCAGAUUGCUUUCCAUGUUGAUUAGAUCCUAUCUGACUUGUAACCUAGGUCAUCAGCGUAUAUAAGGCGGCCAGGGACACCCCAAGGGUAACUCAUUCUAACGCAUCUUAUACCAGCAAUACAACCACCAGAACACAGGACGUAGGGUAUUACACCACCUUGGUGGCUCGAACCUGUCUAAACCUUGCGCCUCUGUAUUACCAUUCGAGUUCUUGAUCUUACGAUCUUC
rnacentral:lncRNA from 1 species